rnacentral:rRNA from 1 species
UGGGGAAUAUUGCACAAUGGGCGCAAGCCUGAUGCAGCCAUGCCGCGCGUAUGAAGAAGGCCUUCGGGUUGUAAAGUACUUUCAGUCGGGAGGAAGGUGGUAAGGUUAAUAACCUUAUCAAUUGACGUUACCGACAGAAGAAGCACCGGCUAACUCCGUGCCAGCAGCCGCGGUAAUACGGAGGGUGCAAGCGUUAAUCGGAAUUACUGGGCGUAAAGCGCACGCAGGCGGUUGAGUGAGUCAGAUGUGAAAUCCCCGGGCUUAACCCGGGAAUUGCAUCUGAUAAUGGUCAGCUAGAGUCUUGUAGAGGGGGGUAGAAUUCCAUGUGUAGCGAUGAAAUGCGUAGAGAUGUGGAGGAAUACCGGUAGCGAAGGCGGCCCCCUAGACAAAGACUGACGCUCAGGUGCGAAAGCGUGGGGAGCAAACAGG